rnacentral:rRNA from 1 species
CCUACGGGAGGCAGCAGUGGGGAAUCUUGCGCAAUGGGCGAAAGCCUGACGCAGCAACGCCGCGUGCGGGAAGAAGGCUUUCGGGCUGUAAACCGCUUUCAGCAGGAACGAAAAUGACGGUACCUGCAGAAGAAGGAGCGGCCAACUAUGUGCCAGCAGCCGCGGUGAUACAUAGGCUUCAAGCGUUGUCCGGAUUUAUUGGGCGUAAAGAGUUCGUAGGCGGUCGAGUAAGUCGGGUGUGAAAAUUCUGGGCUCAACCCAGAGACGCCACCCGAUACUGCUUGACUUGAGUUCGAUAGGGGAGUGGGGAAUUCCUAGUGUAGCGGUGAAAUGCGCAGAUAUUAGGAGGAACACCGGUGGCGAAGGCGCCACUCUGGAUCGAUACUGACGCUGAGGAACGAAAGCAUGGGUAGCAAACAGGAUUAGAUACCCUGGUAGUCCAUGCCGUAAACGGUGGGCACUAGGUGUGGGUUUACCUAUUAACGAAAUCCGCGCCGUCGCUAACGCAUUAAGUGCCCCGCUGGGGAAUCGGUCGCAAGCAAACUUAAUGAAUUGAGGCUGAGAGUGCGAGCGACGACGAGGAGAG